CCUACGGGAGGCAGCAGUGGGGGAUAUUGCACAAUGGGGGAAACCCUGAUGCAGCGACGCCGCGUGAGUGAAGAAGUAUUUCGGUAUGUAAAGCUCUAUCAGCAGGGAAGAAAAUGACAGUACCUGACCAAGAAGCCCCGACUAACUACGUGCCAGCAGCCGCGGUAAUACGUAGGGGGCGAGCGUUAUCCGGAUUUACUGGGUGUAAAGGGAGCGUAGACGGCGAGACAAGUCUGGAGUGAAAGGCCGGGGCCCAACCCCGGGACUGGUCUUGAAACUGGCUGUCUGGAGUACAGGAGAGGUAAGUGGAAUUCCUGGUGUAGCGGUGAAAUGCUUAGAUAUUAGGAGGAACACCGGUGGCGAAGGCAGCUUACUGGACUGUAACUGACGUUGAGGCUCGAAAGUGUGGGGAGCAAACAGGAUUAGAUACCCGGGUAGUC
rnacentral:rRNA from 1 species